GCGACCCCAGGAUGGGCGAGGCCACCCGCUGAU
rnacentral:rRNA from 1 species